AGCAAUUCCUAUAGGGCUGAGUGGGCGCCAUUUUUAGUCCGGUAUCCAGCUCUUCUAAUACAUCCAUGGUACCACCUGUGUUAAUUGGUCGUAGGUAGGGAAGAGAACCACGAAUGGCGGGAUUUGGGAAAAAAAACAACGAGAGAGAGAGAGAUACGAAAACAGAGAGAAACAGACGAAGCAGGAGAAAUGCGGAGAGACGAUAACUGAGAUAUUUUGGUGUAUGUUUAGCUAAACAGAAGAAAAGUGUAGCUGUAGUCAACUACGCACAUUUUUGCUUAAUCACAGUUGAUUAGCGAGACAGUUUGUGCGAGUGUGUGGCUGUGCUAAGCUAAAGUCUGUGAGCUCUGGAGCAGAGGACGCCAUUGCUGACCGGGAAGGGCUGUCUGUGCUUUCUGACGGAGAGUUCACGUCCGCUGCCGUCUGGUUUCAUCUUUCGGACCACGAAGUAUUGGUCCGGGACUGGCAUCGAGCUGUUUUCGUCUUCGCUGUCGUCUGGUUUCCUACUGCUGACCAAGAACUGUUGUUCCAGGACUGACGUCGAACUGUUUUCAUCUUCGCUGCUGUCUGGUUUCAUGUUUUGGACCACGGAUUGUUUCCCCGUGUCUGACAUCGAACUGUGACAGCAAGCUGCCAUGCAAGAUACAUGCCUGACCAUCAGGAGCAGUUCUGGGGUUCAGCGUCUUUCCCAUGGACACUUGGUUGACAGGAGGAGCUGGGGAUUGAACUGCAGACCCUGCAAUUAGUGGACAACUGGCUCUACCUCCUGAGCCACAGCCUCCCUGCAGGUACAGAACAAAGGUAAAGAGUCACUUGCCAGGUGAUCAGGUGCACCUGGAUAAAACUAAUGCAGUAUAAACAGCCCUGCAGUGAAUCCUCCUUUCAUGAAAGUUAAAAGGUCCCGUUUUUAUUUAAUCAUUUUUGAACCAUAUUGAGUCAUACUGAGAAGGUUUUCUACAAUUUUGUCCAAUCCAUUAUAUGAAUUAGAAUAGACUAAUUACAAACAACAGUAAAUGAACACAUCAACAACACUGAUUCUGAUUCUUCAGCUCAGCAGUAUGUUCAGUCUGUUGCUGGUUCAAGCUGUUGCAUUCAGUUCAGAACAAAACUAGAUCUUUACAAGAACUGUUUAUAUGGUUAACAGCUCAUAAGCCAACUAUUUCAGCAGAGUCAUCGCAUUAUGAUUAUGUCUGUGGGUUUUCAUCAUCUUUAAAUAAGUUUUUAAUGAGGAAGUAACAUACUGUGAAUCAGGGCUAAUCUGACAAGGGCGCUCUCAGUCAUCAAUGAGGAGCUCCACCACUCAAAGCUACUGAUUUGUUUAGUGACAGUGGUGAUUCAGUGAGCUCAGUUCUUGGUGUCAAAGAUUCCUUUUGUACAUGUACUGACCACCUCUAGAAACAUACAAAGAUAUACAUUCAGAAUAUGACUGACUGUGUCAUGGCUUCAUAUAAUUCAUCUGCUUCUGUGUAUUCCUGUUGCUGUGUUUUACCAAUCUUUCCUGCUAUUCCUCACCUGCCCACUAGCUGUACUCAUGGCGCUGUCAGAUCAGAUUUUGCUUCCCAGUAAUCUAUUUUUUUUAUUUUUUUCGGUUUCCUUUUUUGUUCACAGUUUUUUAUUACAAAAGACUUGACCGAGUGAAGAUACAAAUAUGAAAUACUUUGUGCAGCCUCUACCCACAGGAUACAAAGAGGAUAGUUAUUGUCAAAGCAUGGCUAUAAGAAAAGACAAUCUGUAGUUUUGGUCAAUACUUACCUUGUGGGAGGCACACAGUGUAAACUGAGCUAUAUGAGAACCUCACUUGGAUGUCAAGUGUGUAUUGAAUUAGGAAUCAUUUGUCUGUAAUGCAGCAGGCCUGACACUCAAAUUGAAAUGUACUGUUUGGUUCUAUUAUCAAAACUCUGCAGAAGUAUGCAAAGUGCAAGCAUACAGCUAUAAACUAAAUAUAUCAGAGAUAAAACUCCGUGUAAUUUACAACUCUGUGGACUGUCAGUUUGUUUACAACCCUACUCAUGCUGUUGUCCUAUUUCACACUAUUGUCACACCACAUGGGUAAAUUUCUAGGGUGGAUCUUGGUCUCACUGCAGCUUCAUUGUUUCCUACCUAUCAUAUGACCAGUCAGUCUGUGUCUAAUUAGUCUCAGCCCAAGUAUAUAUACUCCUCCAGCCAGUAUUAUCUAGCAUGGCUGUAUAGUUGUUUCUUUUUUCCCUGUGUGUUUGACCUCCUCUCUGCUUUUGAGACCUGCCUUUGCCCUUUAGAUUUGUCUUCCUGCCUCUUCCUUCUCAGUAACCGCUGAUAUUUUUAUCUUUGACCACGUUAAGGCAGUUUUUGCCUUUCAAUCUCUGCGUCGAGAUUCUGCAUUUGAGUCCUCAUUCCAGUGCCUGUUGCCCGAACCCUCACAACAGGUUGAAAAUAUGAAUGUAAUUACCUGUGGUAUUUUCACUAAGUUGGUGAAAUGGCUACAAAUCAAGAGAAAAUCAAUGGCAAAAGGUGUUACUGUUUUUUUUUCAUGCUUAAAUUGAUAUUUAGCCUAAAUGUUGUUAUCUGUCACACAGAAUGAUGAACGGUGCAGCAAGAAAAGGUAAAAUGUCAAAUAAGUUACCGUGAAGGUUGGUUACAAUGGAGGACUGCAUCUAGGCUUACUGAAUUUGCAUUAAAAAUAUUGAAAUAUGAAUAAAGACUGGAGUAUUAACCAUGAAGCUAUGAAUAUGUGCAUAUUAAUCCAUCGAGAUGGGCAUUGGUGUACUCACAUACUGUAAAUUGUCAUACCAACAUACUGCUGACCCUGACGUCUGACCUCCCUUUGGAAAAAGGUAGGAAAAAGAUUAGUUCUCUUAAGAAAUGAGUAAAUUAUUUAAAUUGUUUUAUUGAAAAAUAUUGAUUGUGGUUUACAGUUUACUAUUUUUUGCUUAUCAAAAUGUGUUUCCUGCCCACAGUGAACAAUAAUCAGGUCAUUUUAAAUGGAACUCUGAGACUUGUAUUGUGAAAAUGUUCUUGGCAUUAUCGCCAGUAACCACAGGUGUUCCAAAUUCAACCAAGACUGAAAUUUUAAGGUUUACAUCUUUAAGAUUUCACAAAACCAGGAGCCUGAGGCAAGUUACACUUGAUCUGGCUCUCUUUGGGUAACCUUACUUCACUGAGCUUCAUAAUUUACUGAGCUAAUUAAGUGUGUGCACAAUUAAUAUGCUACUAUGAUCAACAUUCACUCUCUUGUUUGAUGGUUUCCACUCUGGGAGACAUGGGGUGCUUCUCACUAGUCUGAAAUGUCUCCUCACUUGCAUUGUAGAGAUGCAAGGAAAUUAUGUCAGGGAAGAGGAAUCAGGGAAACUCAUUUUUAGAGAAAUAAGAUAUCCCUUCAUAGCAUGUGUCAUUUGGAGAUUCAAUUUGUGAUGAUGGCAGCACACAAAUAUAUUUUAUACUAUAUACAUAUAUAGAUUAUACUAUACUACAAUGUGUCUGUUCCACCCUACUAACCCUGAAAGCAUGUUGUUUUAUACAAAUCCUAUCAAACUGGCAUCAAUGUCCAAAGUAAUGACAAAGUAGCAAAUUGUAUCAAAACAACUGGUUUCCAAUCAGGCCACUAACCAAGAGGGUAUUUAAGUAACAGAACAUGUGCAUCCAUGCAACAACAAACAUGGACAGACAAACCAGAAUUUCUAGUGCCCUUAUAAUCUGGAACCAGCUCCAGGAUGAACUACAGCAUUCUAUGUGCAGGAAAGCGUGUCUACAUCGUGCAAUCCUGCUCCUCCAUGAGCUAAUCAUCAUUUAUGCUCCAAAGUUAUUUAGAGAAAAUGAUGCUCAUGACGCCACAUGCAUCAUUGCAGGGGUGACAUGCAUCCAUGGUUGGAUUUUGGUUCCCAAUUCACAUAACAUAUGGCACUGUGUCAUUCAUGCAAAAGCACAGAGCAUAUUAACUUAGAUGGAAUAAUUUCACAUGGAUAAUCAGAGACAAACACAACACACACAUAUCAAUACUAUAAUUCUCAAUGUGAUCACAAAAUAUCACACACUUACAGUGCUUUUUAGAAAUGUGCCCACAAGUGUAUAUUAUGUUCAGAACUUGAUAUACACUUGUGAGCUUUUGCAGGCUGGAAUCUCAGUAAGACUUUUGCUUUUUCACAUAUAUUGAAAUCAGCCCGUGCCUGUCCUGGAAGUGUACUUCAGCCAACAAACAAACCUCAUUCCAGACUGAGCCAGACCUCAAUAGAGGAUUUAAUGAGGUUUUUGCCACCACCUGAGCAAUGAGGCUGGGGACACCAAAUUAAUGCAGUGUAUUGGCUUGCCCAUGGCCAGUCCUACACAGUGGUGUCCCAGGCCUUUCAGGUCCCCAGGGUCACUGUGUGCAGAAUGGGUUAGGGUUACACACUGGAGUCCAGAAGAUUGCAUCCCUUCGCCAGGAGGUUGUCAUAUUGCCCACCGCUGGAGCACCAGGGAGGGCUAUUGAGGCCUUUACACAGCUAGCCAACACGAGUGUUCUCCAAGUGUGUGGAUGCCAUAGACAGCUGCCAUGUCCAUAUAAAUAUCCCCCCAUGGACCAAGCAGCCAGGAUUACCUUAACAGGAAGCUCUUCCCAUCAAUACAGUUGCUUGCAGAAUGUGAUGGGAAGGGCCUCUUCAUAAACGUCUUUGUGGGUUGUCCUGGCUCCAUCAAUGACACCAGAGUGUUGAAGAACAGCAUCGAAGAGGCUCUGUAUCCUCCUCCAGGGUCACUCAUUGUGGGUGAUGGUGGCUACCCCUGCAUUGAACAUCCUGUGGUUAUCAUCACCCCAUGUAGGGAAUCACCACAGGAGAGGAUGCAAAGCCUUUUCAGCCAGCACCAUACAAAGCACUGUGCCAGGUUGAAGACUCAUUUAGGGGGGGCAUGAAGCAGACAUGGACAGCAUGACUGUCUUUAGGGCUGCUCUAUGUUCCGCCAAUGUACCCUGCACAGCUUCAAAACCACAACUACUUGUAGUAAUUUAUUCUUGAUAGUCUAGUUUAUUCUUGUUGUUUUAGUUAAUCCAUCUGAGUUCAAUGGCAUCUUAUACUUAUCCUGCAAGCUUUUUACUUUUGAUGAGAAUUCUAUUAAAAAACAAAGCCUUUGUUCACAAGCAGAUAAUCCCUGCUUGAAUCCAUGGUGGCAUUCAUCUUUGUACCACUUAUCAAAUAAAGAUGCAAAGCACAAAUCUGAUAUAUGAAAUUCAAGCCACAUGAUUCAAAACUAUGCCAUCACACUGGUGGAAACAAGGUUUUGAUCAUGACCUUUUGACUUUUUGUUAAACUACUCUGUAUGCAUUGUGCUUUCUCAAAAUACACCACUGCCUAUGGUCCUGUAAUACAUAAAUUUUGUACAAUUAAAAUCUUGGAUUUGUUUCCUCAAGGGCUUAAAAUCCUGUGUCUGAAGCAGUUGUCUUCUUGCAACUUUAUGCUGUCUAAUUCGACUCACACAAAGAGUCCAAUUUUUUAUGCCCUGUGGCAUCACAAUGUAAUAUUCAAACAAUGUCCAACAAAUUCAAAACAAAACUGUAUAAAACAAAGUUAUAAUACAAAAACUAAAAGUAAAAGUCAUGGCAUAAACAGCAUCUCAAACAUUAGCUCUUGACAAGUUCUCUUAAAACGUAUCAAAAAAUCUUUUCCUGGCCAGCCUUGAACUGCAGCUUCUUCUUGUAAGAGAGUCCUCAGUGAAGCUUUUAAAGUUCUCACUUUUUUGCUGGCUGGGGGACAGGCUGAAGUGGGCAGCUCUUGAGCAGAGUUACUUAUGCCUGGUUGUGUGGCCUCUUCAGCCACACAUAGCCAUUGUGCCUUUUGAUUUUAGUAUCUAAUAACAAUAUUCAGUUUCCUCGUACUGUGGAUUUUAAACAGACCUGCACUGGGGGGAAAGAUUGAAGACUAACUGGCAAAAUAACUGACAAAAUAAAAGAUAAGUAUAAUGUCCGAUAGUGCUCUGCCUAUUUUCCAGCAUGCAGUGGAAGGACUAAGUUCAUUUACUGUCAAAGUCAAAUUGGCUAUAUAUAUAUAUA